rnacentral:rRNA from 1 species
AGAGUUUGAUCCUGGCUCAGGAUGAACGCUGGCGGCGUGGAUAAGGCAUGCAAGUCGAACGAUCUAUGUACUUGUAUAUAGAUAGUGGCAAGCGGGGUAGUAAUGAGUAGGAACGUACCCACAAGUCGUGAAUAACUGCGAGAAAUCGUAGCUAAUACGCGAUAUCCCUAAGGGGGAAAGAUUUAUCGCUUGUGGAACGGCCUACUUCGUAUCAGCUAGACGGUGAGGUAAAGGCUCACCAAGGCUACGACGCUUAGGGGAGGUGAGAGCCUGACCCCCACCAUUGGAACUGCGACACGGUCCAAACUCCUACGGGAGGCUGCAGUCGAGAAUCUUCCGCAAUGCACGAAAGUGUGACGGAGCGACGCCGCGUGAUGGAUGAAGUAUUUCGGUAUGUAAACAUCUUUUAUAAGUGAAGAAGUAUAUUGACAUUAACUUAUGAAUAAGGGGUUCCUAAACUCGUGCCAGCAGGAGCGGUAAUACGAGUACCCCGAGCGUUAUCCGGAAUUAUUGGGCGUAAAGCGUGCGCAGGCGGUUUAGCAAGUUUGAGGUUAAAUCCGAUCGCUCAACGAUCGAAUCGUCUCAAAAACUAUUAAACUAGAGAAUGACAGAGGUAACUGGAAUUCUGUAUGUAGGGGUAAAAUCCGUUGAUAUACAGAGGAACACCAAAAGCGAAGGCAGGUUACUGGGUCAUUUCUGACGCUGUUGCACGAAAGCGUGGGUAGCAAACAGGAUUAGAUACCCUGGUAGUCCACGCUGUAAACGAUGGAUACUCGGUUUGAGAGGGAUUCGACCCUCUUUUGAGCCUAAGCUAACGCGUUAAGUAUCCCGCCUGGGGAGUACGGUCGCAAGAUUAAAACUCAAAGGAAUAGACGGGGACCCACACAAGCGGUGGAGCAUGUGGUUUAAUUCGACAAUAAACGGGGAACCUUACCAAGGCUUGACAUCUCCGGAACUCGAUAGAAAUAUUGAGGUGCCGCAAGGAACCGGAUGACAGGUGCUGCAUGGUCGUCGUCAGCUCGUGCCUUGAGGUGUUCGGUUAAGUCCGUAAACGAGCGCAACCCAUGUCUUGUGUUGUAUAUUUCACAAGAGACUGCCGGCUCCAAGUCGGAGGAAGGUAUGGAUGACGUCAGAUCAGCAUGGCCCUUAUGCCUGGGGCCACACACGUGCUACAAUGGCCAGUACAAUGGGCAUCGAACCCGUAAGGGGGAGCAAAUCCCACCAAAGCUGGUCUCAGUUCGGAUUGAGGGCUGCAAUUCGCCCUCAUGAAGUUGGAAUCGCUAGUAACCGCGUAUCAGCCAUGGCGCGGUGAAUAUGUUCCUGGGUCUUGUACUCACCGCCCGUCACAUCAUGAAAGGUGGGGGUACCCGAAGUCGCCUUAGUCCCGACUUGUCGGGACGGGUGCCUAAGGUAAACUCACUGAUUGGGAUGAAGUCGUAACAAGGUAACC